UGAGAUCCUACUGUAAGACAUUUUCUCAAC
rnacentral:piRNA from 1 species